UACAGAGGUCUCAAGCGUUGUUCGGAUUCAUUGGGCGUAAAGGGUGCGUAGGUGGCGUGGUAAGUCGGGUGUGAAAUUUCGGAGCUUAACUCCGAAACUGCAUUCGAUACUGCUGUGCUUGAGGACUGGAGAGGAGACUGGAAUUUACGGUGUAGCAGUGAAAUGCGUAGAGAUCGUAAGGAAGACCAGUGGCGAAGGCGGGUCUCUGGACAGUUCCUGACACUGAGGCACGAAGGCCAGGGGAGCAAACGGGAUUAGAUACCCCGUGUA
rnacentral:rRNA from 1 species